GUGAGGAAUAUUGGUCAAUGGGCGGUAGCCUGAACCAGCCAAGUAGCGUGAAGGAUGAAGGUUCUAUGGAUUGUAAACUUCUUUUAUAAAGGAAUAAAGUGAGGCACGUGUGCCUUUUUGUAUGUACUUUAUGAAUAAGGAUCGGCUAACUCCGUGCCAGCAGCCGCGGUAAUACGGAGGAUCCGAGCGUUAUCCGGAUUUAUUGGGUUUAAAGGGAGCGUAGGCGGGUUGUUAAGUCAGUUGUGAAAGUUUGCGGCUCAACCGUAAAAUUGCAGUUGAUACUGGCAUCCUUGAGUACAGUAGAGGUAGGCGGAAUUCGUGGUGUAGCGGUGAAAUGCUUAGAUAUCACGAAGAACUCCGAUUGCGAAGGCAGCCUGCUGGACUGUAACUGACGCUGAUGCUCGAAAGUGUGGGUAUCAAACAGG
rnacentral:rRNA from 1 species